CCUACGGGUGGCAGCAGUGGGGAAUAUUGGACAAUGGGCGAAAGCCUGAUCCAGCCAUGCCGCGUGUGUGAAGAAGGCCUUCGGGUUGUAAAGCACUUUCAGUGGGGAAGAAAGCCUUGGGGCUAAUACCCUCGAGGAGGGACAUCACCCACAGAAGAAGCACCGGCUAACUCCGUGCCAGCAGCCGCGGUAAUACGGAGGGUGCGAGCGUUAAUCGGAAUUACUGGGCGUAAAGCGCGCGUAGGCGGUCUGAUAAGCCGGUUGUGAAAGCCCCGGGCUCAACCUGGGAACGGCAUCCGGAACUGUCAGGCUAGAGUGCAGGAGAGGAAGGUAGAAUUCCCGGUGUAGCGGUGAAAUGCGUAGAGAUCGGGAGGAAUACCAGUGGCGAAGGCGGCCUUCUGGACUGACACUGACGCUGAGGUGCGAAAGCGUGGGUAGCAAACAGGAUUAGAUACCCGGGUAGUC
rnacentral:rRNA from 1 species